CACCGUUCCGGCCUUUCAAGAGCCAACUGCCACGAUUGUGCGCAUGACUCGCAUUACUAGCACAUGUAUAAAAGGGCUGCCCAGCCUGCGUUCGUCAGUAGAAAAGGCAAGCAUUGUCGAGGUCAGUCACGCGGGAUUCCUGGCAAAGAAACCAAACGUCACCACCUAGAACGAGAGCAUGGAUCCUGAACUGCGUGAAGAACCAUGCGUGCUUACCUCUGAAUUGCACAUGCAACACAUGGUACGCCAAUCUUUUCUGGGGAUGGUAUUAGGACACAUGAUCAAGAAUGAUCGCAUCGUACGCUGCAUCGGGAGAAGUGUUUUAAUUAUAUCGCUAGCUGUUGCUGGGAUCAGUACCCUUAUAGCCCUUGCAGCUGUCCCUGCGGGCGUACUACGGCCAGCCAACAUCAGCGCUGGAAGUUCCAAGCUUACGACUGCGUGGUUUUCGUGCCACGCCAGAGACUCGCCGGAUCCAAGGAACUUGCAUCACAACUGUACGUCUGUGAAUUCAACGUCAUCUAGAAAUGCAACAGAACAUAGCGAUUAUCUUGAACAUAUGCUCAGGAUCCGAAAUGACACUUCAAAUAUCGGGAAUGUACGCACACGCAAAGUGACUGCGCAGCCCAAAGUGAGCGCGCAGCCCAAUCGUACCACCGAAAACGAUACAGUCGUAUCAUACGGUAAUGACGAGACUUCUUUCAAUCUAUCCGGCAACCGAUGCGAUUAGCAGUUGUGGGCGUUAUCUCGCAGAAGCGAGAGGUUGCGACCGGAUUCCCACGACAGCAUUUCCGCGGUGUCCCAACGUUUCAAUGUCAGUGUGGCGUGCAAGAACGACAUGGACGUCAUCGUCUCGUACCAGAAGUGGUAGUUCGGCAACCUAUCCGACGAUGUGUCCCUCACUGAAGUCUGUUACAAGGCCGAGGUUGUCUCCCCAUCGCCGAAAUUCAGGAUAGCCGCCGCAUGUAUGAUCGGUAACAGCGAGGGGAAGGGAUUAGAAAAGAUCACCAAGAAACGUAAUGAAAUUAGCCAAGGAUGGCUAUAUGAGCAGGAAACCUGUCGUGCGCUUCAACCUACUCACGGCAUGCGGCUACACCCAGUGCGGGUCGACCAAGGACAGCGUUUGCUACAUCGCCGAAAGCUGUCAUUUUACUACUAUCUCCGAGGCGCCAGAGCGUUGCAAGAGUGUGCUCUAUCUGAUAUGCGAAGCAUUUGAUGAAGAUCCGGUGCCCGUCGUACUCCCAUCGUCCAGCGUCUCCGUGAAUCCGUCGGCGAAAUCGGCGGUCAGCUCGGCCGCGAUGAAGCAGCCUGACGAGCUCGCGGCACAUCUCGGGACCAUCCUCGAUAAGCCGUCCUUGUACAGGCGCUACUUCACUUGAAAGAGUAACUACACUGUGGGUGCUGCCGUCGGCUGUCUCUGCGCUCUCGGCGAGGCACAUCAUGAAUCAUCGCUUCGCAGCCCAGAGCCCCCGAACCUUCUCAAAGGCCGGCUGCAGUGCGCACAUCAUUGCAGUAGGGCUUCCUGCAUUCUGAAGUAAUCGCUUGUUCCUCAGAAAUCAAACGCAUCGCAAACUAGAUUGAAGCGGUCGUAAUUCGGCUUCCUUUCUCUUGCGAUAAGGUGUUUUAGCCGUAUUUGACAGCGCUUAAGAGUGCGAAAUUCAUCCAUUGCUCCAGAAUCAUUUCCUUUUUUACGUAACCUUUCUGUAUUAUUCACAAAUAAAGUCUUUUUAGCAGA